rnacentral:misc_RNA from 1 species
GGCCUACUUGCUGAACUAAAGUGACUCAUCCUUUCAGUGAAUGUAAGAAAGAAACUAAAUGGUGCUUGUAUUUAAGUUAAGAUGUGAAGUUCAAUUGUCCUUCAAUUCGAAUCCAAAUUGUUUUUCUUCAAAUAUUACGAGGAACCAUUAGCAAUAACUAGCCUUUCUGCUUGUUCUUCCUGAUUUAUGGAUGGUCCCCCAGGAAUAUAAGAGAAGAUGCUUUUAUGUAUAUGAUAAUCAAAGGGAGUGGGAAAGCAGCUGUAAUUCUUUCAUAUGCAGCUGGACAUAUACUGAUGAACCGAAAAAGUUGGAAGAAAGAAAGGAAUCAGAAAAGCAUACAGUAGCAAAACUUAGUGUUAUU